GAGAAUCAUAUGAUGAAAAAUGUGUUUCAACUACACAAUAGGGUUUUUAACUACACAAUAGGGUUUUUAAUGAAGUGCAAAUAAUGACAUGAAUAAUUACAAUAUAUUAUACUCCUAAUUAAAUGAUAGCAAACCUUUAUUUACUCGAUUCUAUUUUAUUUUUAACAUGAAGCAAAUCUCAUGUUGAAGUUUUCCGACCAUGUAAAAAACAAAAAAUAAGUGUGCCAUGAAUGAAAAGGAUUGAAAAGGCCUUACUGUGCCAACUACCCCCUGAACCACUUAACAAGACAACUCCAAUCAAAACAUAUAGAAAAUAACACAAAAUUAUGUAAUAUGAAGUGCACGCACCUCCAUUGAUCUCUUCAUCAGUGGCUCCCACCCACUAUAUACAUGGACUUGGAUUUCUUGAAGUCAAGAGUUCACUCAUUCACUGCAUCAGUCAAGGUUAUCAAUAUCAAGAUCCUACCAAGAAUAGAGAGAUUGUGUCAGAAAUCCCAUUAUAGCUGAGUGAACUCUGCUAAGUAUUUUAAUAUCAUUGAGCAAAACAUUACUC
rnacentral:lncRNA from 1 species